CAAAACGGACACCGUAUGCAAAAGUUACACUCAGUUCUUCGAUAGCCGACAAUCCAAGCAUUACAAAUAGGCAAGUGCUUGUUCAUCCACAAACGACUGAAAUCCCUCAUACGAUGUGAACAAAAGGAUGGGUUAAAUCUAAAAAGAUAUCUACAUUUUCGAAAAGUACUUAUGGGCCCAAAACGGACACCGUAUGCAAAAGCCACACUAAAUUCUUAAAUCGCCGACAAUCCAACCGUUCCAAAUAAGCAAGUGCUUGUUCUUCCACAAUGGAUCGAAAUCCCUCAUACAUCACGCGAAAAAGGGUGGGUUCAAUCCAAAAGGUUCGCUACAUUUCCAAAAAGUACUUAUGGGCCCAAGACGGACACCGUAUGCAAAAGUCACACUCAGUUCUUCGAUCGCCGACAAUCCAAGCAUUCCAAAUAAGCAAAUUUCUUGUUCUUCAACAAAUGGCCGAGAUCACUCAUACGACAUGAUGAAAGGCGUGGGUUCGAUCCAAGAGGGUGGCUACAUUUUCC
rnacentral:lncRNA from 1 species